rnacentral:lncRNA from 1 species
GAGCUUCUUCUUGACUUCUUCUAUUUCUCUUGGUGUUUAUUAUAUGUUGGUGUAGGAUUUGAAUUCAGAGUCGUCUGCAAGAAUGAAUGAAUGAAUGAAUAUAGGACAACAUUAACAUUUAUUAUAUGGCAAUUGAAUUGGAAAAUAAUAGAUGUAUAAUUCAACUGGUUCAUAUAAUAAUUAUAUUCAAGAUGCAAAGCCAUUGAAGUGUGUGUGUGUGUGUGUGUAGCCUCUUCUAUCUGGGGAGGGUUAAUCUGUUUGUUUCUUUUCUUGAAGAUGCCCAUCUUUGUGAUGAGAAUAAUCAACAAAAAGCACGAUGGCGAGCAAAACAAGGAUCAAAGCUAGAUGGCAGGCAAGACAACAAACAGAUGGAGGCACUAUAUCUACGCUCUGUUUCUCUUUGACCGCUUCUUAACCAUCUGCUGCGAAGACUUU